CGAUCGGGACGACCCGAUCCAUGAGGUGGGCAUUGGCCGGGACGACCCGG
rnacentral:ncRNA from 1 species